AAUAUCAGUGUCAUUUUGUUGCCUUUGGUUUAUUGUUUUUCCUCCAGAGCUGUUGUAAGAGCAGUGAGAAGCAAUUAAUGCUAUUCUGUUUCAUCUUCUCUUCUCUUCUCUUCUCUUCUCUUCUCUUCUCUUCUCUUCUCUUCUCUUCUCGUGGUGCCAAGGAUGGAACCCAGGGCCUUGAUUAUACUAGGCAGGUGUUCUACCUCAGAACUAUUAUCUCCAAACUCAAACCAAAACAAACCAAAACAAAACAAAAAUAAACAGAGCCAGGUGGUGGAGGAGCACACUCCCCUCUGAAGACAGAGGCAGGCAUAUCUCUGAGUUUGAGGCCAGCUUAGUUUUACAGAGUAAGUUCCAGGAUAGCCAGGGCUUGUUUGGGGAAAAAAAAAUCAAAUACAAAAAACCUUCACAAAAAACAAAAACAAACAAACAAACCCAAAACAGGAAAAAUAUGUACCGUGAUAACUUUACAUCCUUUUUUUUUUUUUUUUAAUUCUUUCUCUUAAAAAAAAUUUUUUUUUCUCACUGUGUAGCCCUGACUGGGUAUUCACUGUGUAACCAGGUUGGGCUCUAAAUCACAGGUCCAUCUGCCUCUGACUGGGGAUUACUGGGACUAAAGGUGCGCACCUCUAUGUCUGACAGGUUUUAUUUUCUUUAUGUCCCUCUCUACCCUUGAUAAAAAUAAUUGUUAGGGUAGAACCCAGAGCUUCACUCCUGCUAGAUAAGCAAUAUACUUACUGAACUGUACCCCAGCACUAUAAUUUACCAUUUUAACCAUUUUGCAUGUGUUUAUGUAAGACAGGGUCUUAGUAUGCCUGUGGUUAGGCUGUCCUCUUACGUUGUUUAAGUGAGCCUCUUGCCUUGAUGGGGCUACAGAUAUAAUAUGCCAAUAUAAUAUACAUAUAUACAGAUAUAAUAAUGUUCAUGAUGCCUGGACAUUUUAGUCAUUUUUAUGUUUAUCGAUGUAAGUACUUUCGCACUAUUAUACAAGCAUCACUACCAUCCACCUCCAAAACUCUUUGCCAUCUCAAACUGAAACGUUUUUUUAAGAUUUAUUUAUUUUAUUUAUAUGAGUACACUGUAGCUGUCUUCAGACACACCAGAAGAAGGCAUCGGAAUCCAUUGCAGAUGGUUUUGAGCUACCAUGUCCAUGAUGCUGGGAAUUUAACUUAAGACCUCUGGAAGAGCAGUCAGUGCUCUUAACCACUGAGCCAUUUCCUCAGACCCCCUAAAACUAUUUAUGUUAAACACUUAACAGUCUACCUCUACCCUAAUCCUCAACAACCUCCAUUCUGCUUUCAAUAACUUAGAUGGACUCAUUAUAGGUACUUUUCUUUUAUUCUAUUUAUCUAUUUAUUUUUGGAUUUUUCAAUACAGAGUUUCUCUAGGUAGCUCUGGCUGUCCUGGAACUCACUUUGUAGACCAGGUUGGCCUCUGAGUGCUGACAUUAAAGGCAUGUGCCACCACUGCCUGACUGUCUGUCUUGCUGCUGCUAUUCUUCUUUCUCUUCCUUCUCCUCCUCCUUUGUCUUUAACAGAGUUAC
rnacentral:lncRNA from 1 species